rnacentral:lncRNA from 1 species
CCUUUCUCUCCCUCCUCCCUUCUCCUCUCCUCUCAGAUUCCAGCUGAACAAGGUCAGACUUAUGCAUCAGAAGUUAAUGCCAUAUUUGGAGAGACUAGUGCCCUCACUGCUAGGAAUGUUGAGGAAAUGUUCAUUGAAAUAACUCGUAAGUUACCACCAGAUUGUUUAACUAGUUUACCAGCUGGUGCCUCUCUCUUAA